rnacentral:rRNA from 1 species
CCUACGGGAGGCUGCAGUGAGGAAUAUUGGUCAAUGGUCGGGAGACUGAACCAGCCAAGCCGCGUGAGGGAAGAAGGUGCCAGGUGUCGUAAACUUCUUUUGUCGGGGAACAAAGGGCGCCACGCGUGGCCGUGUGAGUGUACCCGAAGAAAAAGCAUCGGCUAACUCCGUGCCAGCAGCCGCGGUAAUACGGAGGAUGCGAGCGUUAUCCGGAUUUAUGGGGUUUAAAGGGUGCGUAGGCGGUCCGGUAAGUCAGCGGUAAAAGCCCGGGGCUCAACCCCGGCGAGCCGUUGAAACUGUCGGACUCGAGAUGGCGAGAAGUACGCGGAAUUCGUGGUGUAGCGGUGAAAUGCUUAGAUAUCACGAAGAACUCCGAUUGCGAAGGCAGCUUACUAGACUGCCACUGACAUUGAUGCUCGAAAGUGUGGGUAUCAAACAGGAUUAGAUACCCUAGUAGUC